rnacentral:rRNA from 1 species
AUGAACGCUAGCGGCAGGCCUAAUACAUGCAAGUCGGACGGGAUAGGAGAGCUUGCUUUCCUUGAGAGUGGCGCACGGGUGCGUAACACGUAUGUAACCUACCUUGUUCAGGGGGAUAGCCUCUCGAAAGAGAGAUUAAGACCGCAUAACAUUAAGUUGUGGCAUCGCAAUUUAAUCAAAUAUUUAUAGGAACAAGAUGGGCAUGCGGAACAUUAGCUAGUUGGUAAGGUAACGGCUUACCAAGGCCACGAUGUUUAGGGGAUCUGAGAGGAUUACCCCCCACACUGGUACUGAGACACGGACCAGACUCCUACGGGAGGCAGCAGUAAGGAAUAUUGGUCAAUGGACGGAAGUCUGAACCAGCCAUGUCGCGUGCAGGAAGACGGCCCUAUGGGUUGUAAACUGCUCUUGUACGGGAAUAAACCUCUCUUCGUGAAGGGAGCUGAAUGUACUGUAAGAAUAAGGAUCGGCUAACUCCGUGCCAGCAGCCGCGGUAAUACGGAGGAUCCAAGCGUUAUCCGGAUUUAUUGGGUUUAAAGGGUGCGUAGGUGGCUUUUUAAGUCAGGGGUGAAAGACGGCAGCUUAACUGUCGCAGUGCCUUUGAUACUGAAGAGCUUGAAUGAACUAGAGGUAGGCGGAAUGUGACAAGUAGCGGUGAAAUGCAUAGAUAUGUCACAGAACACCAAUUGCGAAGGCAGCUUACUAUGGUUUGAUUGACACUGAGGCACGAAAGCGUGGGGAUCAAACAGGAUUAGAUACCCUGGUAGUCCACGCCCUAAACGAUGAAUACUCGAUGUUGGCGAUAUACGGUCAGCGUCUAAGCGAAAGCGUUAAGUAUUCCACCUGGGGAGUACGCCCGCAAGGGUGAAACUCAAAGGAAUUGACGGGGGCCCGCACAAGCGGAGGAGCAUGUGGUUUAAUUCGAUGAUACGCGAGGAACCUUACCCGGGCUUGAAAGUUAGUGAAUGUGACAGAGACGUCACAGUCCUUCGGGACACGAACUAGGUGCUGCAUGGCUGUCGUCAGCUCGUGCCGUGAGGUGUUGGGUUAAGUCCCGCAACGAGCGCAACCCCUAUGUUUAGUUGCCAGCAUGUAAAGGUGGGGACUCUAACAGACUGCCUAUGCAAAUAGAGAGGAAGGAGGGGACGACGUCAAGUCAUCAUGGCCCUUACGUCCGGGGCUACACACGUGCUACAAUGGGCAGUACAGAGGGCAGCUACCUGGUAACAGGAUGCCAAUCUCCAAAAGCUGUUCACAGUUCGGAUCGGGGUCUGCAACUCGACCCCGUGAAGUUGGAUUCGCUAGUAAUCGCGUAUCAGCAAUGACGCGGUGAAUACGUUCCCGGGCCUUGUACACACCGCCCGUCAAGCCAUGGAAGCUGGAAGUGCCUGAAGUGCGUAACCGCAAGGAGCGUCCUAGGGUAAAGUCGGUAACUGGGGCU